CCCUUAGAUGUUCUGGGCCGCACGCGCGCUACACUGAUGCAUUCAACGAGUUUCUUCCUGGUCCGAGAGGAAUGGGUAACCUUUUGAAAGUGCAUCGUGAUAGGGAUAGACUAUUGCAAUUAUUGGUCUUCAACGAGGAAUUCCUAGUAGACGUAGUUCAUCAGACUGCAUCGAUUACGUCCCUACCCUUUGUACACACCGCCCGUCGCUCCUACCGAUUGAAUGCUCAGGUGAGCCAUUCGGACUUUCAUCAUGCUGGUUUCCAGUUUUGAUGAAGGAAAGUCUUGCGAACCUUAUCAUUUAGAGGAAGGAGAAGUCGUAACA
rnacentral:rRNA from 1 species